rnacentral:rRNA from 1 species
CACGUAGGGCGCGAGCGUUGUCCGGAAUUAUUGGGCGUAAAGAGCUCGUAGGCGGCCUGUUGCGUCCGCUGUGAAAGCCCGGGCUUAACCCCGGUCUGCAGUGGAUACGGGCAGGCUAGAGGUAGGUAGGGGAGAAUGGAAGUUCCCGGUGUAGCGGUGAAAUGCGCAGAUAUCGGGAGGAACACCGGUGGCGAAGGCGGUUCUCUGGGCCUUACCUGACGCUGAGACACGAAGCGUGGGUAGCAAACAGG